CUGCAGCUCAAGUGGUGGCCGCUAUUAUUGGGCCUAAAACGUCCGUAGCCUGUUUAGUAAAUGCUUGGGUAAAUUGUGUAGCUUAACUAUACGAAUACCGGGUAGACUGCUAAACUUGGGACCGGGAGAGGCUAGAGGUACUCCUGGGGUAGAGGUGAAAUUCUGUAAUCCUAGGGGGACCACCAGUGGCGAAGGCGUCUAGCUAGAACGGGUCUGACGGUGAGGGACGAAGCCCUGGGGCACAAACCGGAUUAGAUACCCGUGUAGUCC
rnacentral:rRNA from 1 species